rnacentral:lncRNA from 1 species
CCGCCGUGUCUCCUCUCCACUGAGAGCUGUUCAGUUGCUCAAUAUAAUUAUUCUCCCCUCUCCUUGGGCACAGUACAAGAGCUCAGGAACCGCCAAACGCAGGUACAAACUAUAACACAGUGUGCCCCACUCCUAUUCUGAGCCCAUAAAAAGCCCUGGACCCAGCCACGCAGGGAGGAGAGAACCACCUAACUGUGAGGUGGUGGACCACCCCGCGCAUCCCCUCUCCAAUGGGAGCUGUUCCAUCACUCAAUAAAAUUCUUUUCCACCCUCCUCACCCUUCAAUAUCCAGCAUAUCCUCAUUCUUCUUGGGCGCAGUACAAGACCUCGAGAACUGCUGAACACAGGUACAAGCUAUAACACACGCAAGCUGGGGCACGCCAUUGUGGCCGAGUGAGGGCUGGGAGGGGUGUCACAAGCUGAGGAUCCCCUGGCCUGCAAAGUGACCAAGAAGAAAAAUCCUACAUCACCAAGAACCCAUUUCCAUAGCUUGGCUGGUACGGAAAGUAGUUUCUGUAACCCAAGAAUACACUCACUCAAGUGGUGUUUGUCCAUUUGGAGUUGAUUUAUCUGUGGUUGGAAUGAGGGAUGACCAUGUUUAUUUCAGUCAGAUCCAUCCAGAGCUUACUUUGCUGGAAAACCACAGCAAAGAACUAUGUGAAUGGGAAAAUGCUGAGAAAAGAUAUAAUGAAAAUCUGGAACUUGAAGAUG